rnacentral:rRNA from 1 species
GGUGGUAUAUGAUAUGAGUGGAUUUUAUGGGAUAGUUUUUUUAGUAUUUGUUUGAAUUUAUUGUGUUUUAUAUAGAGAAUAGUACUGUGUAGGAAAUAAUUUAAUUUGUUUUGAAUAUUAGGUUUUUUAUUACCUUUUGUAUUAGGGUUUAUUAAAGUUUGAAAACUUUGUUAUUUCUAGAAGAAUAUCGAGCUAAUUAUUUUAUUUAUUAUUCGUUGUAUAGAGUUUAAUAGGGAUUAUUAGUUAUGAAAUAUUAUUCAAGUUGUUUUAUAUCUAGUUCUUUUAUAUGGAUAAUUUAAGUUAGUUUUAUUAGGAAGACAGACAGGGAUUAGCUUGUUUGUAUUUUAUAUUUGAGUUUUUAUAUGAUUUAUUUUUGGGGUUAAUAGUGCCUGAUUAGAUGGUAUUAUUACUGGUUAAGGUUUAUGGUUAAAUUUUUUUGAGAUAUGUUUUUAUUAAAGGGAAAGAUAGAAUUUUUUAUUUUUUGGUAUAAUGAUAAAAUUAGUAAUAUUGGAUUUAUUUUUUUUUGUUAAAGUUUAAUUUGAAUAUAAGUGUUUUAUGUGGAUUAAUCAUGAUGAAUUCGGCAAACUGGAUUCUUGACUGUUUAGCAAAUACAUUGUUUUUUGUUGAAAUAAAAAGUAAUUUCUGUCCACUGCUUAAUAGUGAAGGACUGCAGUAUUUUGACUGUAUGAAGGUAGCAUAAUCAUUAGCUUUUUAAUUAAAAGCUGGUAUGAAGGGGAAACAGGGAUUGGCUGUGUUUAGUUUAGUUAAUGAAUUUUAUUUUUAUGUGAAAAAUCAUAAGUAAAUUAAAGGGACAAGAAGACCCUAAUAAGUUUUAUUUGAAGUUUUUAUGCAUAUAUAGGAUAUUAAUAUAAUUUUUUGCUUUGAGUUUAGUUGGGGCGACGAAUUAAGUAACUUAAUUUAUUAUUUAAUGUUUUUAUGGCGGUAUUUAUGACCUAAGUUGGUUAAUUGAGUGAAAAAUUACUGUAGGGAUAACAGCGUAAUUUUUUUUAAGAGUUCUAAUUGACGAAAAAGUUUGCGACCUCGAU